rnacentral:rRNA from 1 species
GACAGAGGUGCCGAGCGUUAGGCGGAAUCACUGGGCUUAAAGCGUGUGUAGGCGGAUGCCUAAGUACCUUGUGAAAUCCCACGGCUCAACCGUGGAACUGCUUGGUAUACUGGGUGUCUUGAGCCACUUAGGGGCAACCGGAACAAACGGUGGAGCGGUGAAAUGCGUAGAUAUCGGAAGGAACGCCGGUGGCGAAAGCGACAAGCUGGCCCUCUUCUGACGCUGAGGCGCGAAAGCCAGGGGAGCAAACGGG